rnacentral:lncRNA from 1 species
AGAAGUUUUAUUAGUAGCAGACCGUAGGAGUGUGCAGCAGAUACAGCUACCUUGAAAACAUGCGCGACCUCUUCUUUUCCUCCUCCUCCUCUCACUACUUUCCACUGCGUUUUUUCAGAGGGAGCGGGAGGGGGAGGGAGGGAGAGAGAGGGAUUUUCAGAGGUAGGUCUCUCCAUCCAUGACUAGAUUUUGAUGCAAUAACAUUUGUAAAUGGCUGUAACCCAUCUGUUUAUCAUUCCCUAUCUAUGAGUAUUUGUAGUCGCUUUCCUUACUUAUACCGUAUAAAUAUAUCUGACUCCCAUGACGAAAGCGACCCAUCAUCUUCCGAAAAUUAUGCGACACCCCUCUUUAAUUAGUUCCCUUAAUUUGGAGGCAUAAUUCUUCUUCUUCUUAUAUUCUUUUUCUAUGCUCAUGAUCUUGGACCUCACUACAUUCAAAACAAACUACUCCCCCAUAUAUAUAUAUAUAUAUAUAUAUAUAUAUAUAUAUAUGCAGCAACAGCACUGGAGACCAGGGUUUCAAUCCAUGGGCAAAAUUUUACAAGUUAAGUUUCAUUAUUGCGCAACUGUUUCUUUAUAAUAGCAAUUUAUUUAUGCUAUUGUGGCGUGAUUAGUGUGUAACUUGUUAGUUGUGUUUUCAAUGACCUAGGAGGUUGAAAUUUAAAUCUAGGUUUUCUUAAAAAUUAAGUUACUCUCAUCUUAUAGAACUAGCUAGCAAGCUAGGGUUCUACUGGAAUUGAACUUGUAAUUUGUUGUUCAGUUUUAGGGUUUCAAACUAAUUAAAUCUUGUUUGUUUUUAAUCUCUAAUUUGACUCUAUAUAUUGGUUGAGCAUCAAUUGUAGGCGCUGGUAAUUGUAAUAAAUCUUGAUUAUGGGAAGCAAAAAGCUAAGGGGGUGUUUGAUAAAAACUGAAUAAAUCUAAAUCUGAAUGAGCUGAACCUGAAUCUGAAUGAAUGAGUUGAAUUUGAAUCCAAAAAAACUGUUUGAUAAUUGACAUGUAAACUUUAUUAUUUUACCCCCUCUAAAAAAAAUCAAAUUUAUUGUAAAUUUAUUUAAUAUUACUUAAUAUAAUAGUUAAUAUUUUUUUAAAAUUUUUUUUACUUCAUUCUGCUGCUCAUUUAGCUAUUCAGCUCAAAAAAUCUGACUUAGCCAUUCAACUAGUCUAUCUUACCGAUUCAGUUAUUCAAACCAAAACAAACGCACUGACCGAUUCAUGUGGCUCAAUAAUAUUAUCCGAAAAACUUUACUACUAAAAUCCUUUAUUUCUUUCUUCCUAUUCUUUUUGUGACUUUGCCCAUGUAUUGUAAGAUCGACUAACCCUCAGGAGAAAUUAAAUUAUUAGACUUAAACCUUUUAUUGUCCGACUUGUUUCUUGAUUUCAAGAAAUUAAAUUAAAAAUUGAUGACUUUUAAUAUUUGAUCAUCAAAAAUGGUGACGAAGUAGCAUUUAUAAGCCAGUAAUCAACAAGCAAAAAGGUGUUUGUAUUCAACAUUUGAGCUACUUUACUGUUCCAAUAUACUGCUGUACUCACAGUAUUUGGUGCCCCUGAAAUUAAUCAGGACUCUAUAACAUAUGCCUCAUUUUCAAUAUCUACUACCAUCUUUCCAUUUUUACUUAUAUUUUGGGUUCUUUUUUUUAUUAGUCUAUUGGGUUUUGUUACGAGAAAGGAGAAGGUAAGGUUCAGAAGAGAAGUACUCAUAUAUGUUACGUUCUAGUUAAAAGACAUUCUGGUUUCUUUGAUUGAUUUAAUUACAGAAUGAUCCAUUAAUCAAACUGGUGUAAAUCAAUGAAAUAAUUGUUUGUAUAUCAUUUUUCUUUUAGUGACGCACUUCAUUAUCAACGGGAAAUAAAAACAAUGUAUUCUUUUUCUGUUUCUAGGUAGCACCAGCAUGCUAAAAAACCAAUUAUUGAAAUGAAUCAUUUCCCACUAACUCUAUAUAACUUGAUUACUUUAAAUCUUCCUUCCUAUGUUUAUGUAUUUAUUACACAGGAGUGAAGUGAUCAAUUUGAACAAUAUGCAAAUAAUAUAUUAGUGUUUAAUUAAAGUGAGAAACAGUCUGAGAGAGCUUCCUUCAGCCCACUCAUGGAUGCGAUAAAGGGGCUGAAUUAGCUGCCGACUCAUUCACUUAACCACCCAGUAGAAAUGGAAAAGUGUUGUGCUACUGUGACUGAGUGAAUGAAGCGGGAGAUAGUUUUCCAUCCCUCUCCCUCUGUGCUUGGACUGAAGGGAGCUCCCUUUUUCUGUCCCACACCUUCAUUUUCAUCUCCUGUUUGUCUUUCUACUCAAUUUUAAAUGCUAUAUAUAUACUAAUCCUCUUUGAGUGACUGCCUUUUAAUUAUCGUAAAAUACCUGCCUCUCACCUAUCAACAUGUAUAAAUUGGCAGACAUGACAUGCUGAAAAAUGUGUUGAUAUAAUUUUGCAGCGGAAUCAGCUUCUGCUCAUCUUUCCAUCAAGAGGCAAGAAGGUUAAUGAGUAUUUCCUCGGUAGAUUCAUUCCUUUCCCCUCCUUGCUCUUAUUAGCCUAUUUUAUGCAAUUCAUUUUCAAAUUUUUAGUACAUCUACUUCUUAUGGCAGGACUUGGCAUGAAAACAUUUAAUCAAUCAUAACUCAUCUGUACAAUAAAUUCUGCAUUGAAGCCAUGACAAGUUUAUAUUGAAUUGAAUGAGAAUUUUUUUUCUAUGAAUGCGACAGAUGUUCAAGUUUGAAUUCAUAAACUACUUGUUAUGGCUUCUAUUUUUUUGGGGGUCAAAUUUUCAAUUACAAUUCUGCUGUUAUAUUCAAUUUUUGGCAAGUUUUUAAUCAAAGGUCUAGCUCAUCAUAAAAGGGAAAACAAAUUAAGGCUGUUAAUUCUCAGGGACACCCUGUGAGAGUCAUAACUCGACAAUUCUCAGUACAAUUAUGGUAUUGUGAGGUUAGCACAUUGUGAACCAUGUGAUGUACAAAACAUCACAAUUAUUGAAUACUUGAGCCAUUUUUUUAAAUAAGAUCUCUGUUUGAAAAUAGAUACUUUGGUGACUAAUUUUUGAAGAAAGUGUAUCCAGUUCAAUUUUAUUAUUAUUUAGGGUAUGUUAUGUGUUCAUAAUUAGGGGAAAAGCACAGUUUCUCGAAAAUAUAAAUCCUUCAUGUGCUUCUGUACAGUUGGACCAUUAUAUUGCUAUAAUAUAUUAAGAUUAACUUGGAUCGGAGAUUUUCUCUCUAUUUUAUUGUUUUGUUUAUGAGGUUAAAUUAGUGGUGGAUGGUUUAGUGGAGGAUGUGAAUUUGCCAAAUUUGGGUGGUGGAAGAAGUUGAUAAUAAAUCCCCUGUUUUGGAAAUGAGGUUUUGUUUUCAUUCCCUUAAUUAACUUGAUUGCAUUUUGAUCGAGGGAGUGUGGUCCCAUUUUCUGUUUAUGUAUAAUGUAAUUAGAUGACUUUCCUGUUCUUCUCAUUAUUUUUUCAAUUCCGACUCCGACAGCACAAGAUCCUUCUUCACUAGCUAGUUUUUUGUGUAUAAAAUAUAUAUAAAAUCAAAUUGUUGCUCUGAUUUUUUAUACGAGCAACAAAGAUUGAAGUAAAAUCAUGAUCAACUUAUAGUGCCUUGGCAGUAUGUAUGUAGCCUUUCUGUGUUGGUCUGCAUUUUAGACUUAUAUAUUUCUUUCUUUUUGUUAUCAAGUAUUCAGGUUUAAGGACAAUUUUUUCUUAGACAUGGUUUUGAUCAUUAUGCAGCUAUCUCUUUUUGUACCUCAAGUUAUUAUUAUACUCUAUUAUGUUACGUGGAUUGAGGUAAUAAAGGUAGGAAUAACUCUUCCUACUAUAGAAUAAAAAAAAUUGUGUUUGGUAAUGGAUUGAACCAUUCUUAUUUUUUCCAAAUUUAUGAAUUUUAUGGAAUAACUUAUUCCAUUCCAUUUAUUCAAUCCAAGACUAAAUUGGUUUUAACAAACUUAAAAUGUUAAACAAAAGUAGGUUGGGAUGAAAUGACUUGUGUGCAAGUUAUUGUAUGAAUGUUAAAGAUCCACAGCUAGCUGUUUAUGGUCCCCGGCCUAUAAAUAAAUAAUGCCUAUGCCUUGUUUUGGUUCUUCUUGUAGGCGCGCUUCUUUUUGGAACUCUGGGAGGAGGCUCUGCCUGCAGCUGUUUGUGUAUGAAUAUAUUGAUUGAUGAGUUUUCCUAUAAGAAUGAAAGCAUCAUGUAAGUAAGUAUUUGUUGUUGACAUAAAUAAAAUACACAACAUUCUCGUACAUCACAACUAAAAUUUAAUGUUUUUAUAAGGUAUCUCCGACGACUCAUAUGAAAGGUACAUUAUGGAAUUAUCACUUUUUUUUUUAAUAAUAAUACGGAAAACUUCCUUAAUAUAUAAAAAUUACAUACGUACAACAUUAAAGAUUUUUGAAUAACAGAACACUUUUUAAGGAUGUUGUAAUGACAAUUAUUUAGAGAUUCUACAUUGUUGUCCGUGUCACAAGUGGUUUGGUUCCUACUCGCAUUAACUUGAAAUAAAUCAGAAAAUAAUAAUAAUUGAAGUAUAUAUAUUGUGUAAAAAUAGGUGUUGAUCAUCCCAUUCCAGUGUUGGGUGGACUAAUUAGGUUGUUUAAAUGGAAACUCGUGCCCAUAAAAUAAAUGUAUUAAAUAUACUUUUUUAACACAUUAAAAAAAAUAAAAAUAAUAAUAAAAGAUUGAGGAUAGGUGACCAAUGAACUUUUAUUUCAUUUAUAUUGGACUACACGAUAAGUACAUUAAAUAUUCUUAAAAGUUGUAGAUCCAUCUGAAGUAAUUUUAAAAUUAGACUAAAGUAUACUUUGUACUUCAAAUUUUAUAUUAUUGUUAAUGUUUGCAUCCCAAAUUUGAAAAAUUGUCCAAAUAUAUCCCAUAUUUUAUUUAAACUAAACGCAUAUUUUUUGACUUAUCCGGUUAAAAGUGGCUAGCUAAUCGAGGGAUAAUUUGGGUAGAUGACUUUGAAAUUGAAGUUGACAGAGUUAUUCAACCAAUCUUUACUCGUGUGGCCGUAUAAGACAAAAUUCCCAAAUGCGAUUUGAAGCAUAGAACUGAACUUAUCAAAAUUCUCAAAUCAUUUGACCUAGGGGCUCGUGAUUUAACACACAAAACUUGUGGAAAAAUGAGUGAGAACAACAAAUUAUCGAGGGAUUCAAUUGACAACGAUAUUUAUAGAUUGAAUGGUGUCUCAAAAUAUCGUAAGUGCUUCUAAGAUACUUUUUGGUUGUAUUCUACCUUUUAAAUUUCUUGAAUAAUAGGUCACAAUUCAAGAAGUAAGUUAAGUUUAUAUUUGUAUUUAUAUUCCUAUUUAUGUGGUUGUUUACUACUAUUAUUGACAUGUUUCUUUUUGUCUUUGUGUUAGAAAUUGAAUAAGCAACCUUACAUGGAUCAUAGAGGGGAUAUACCAGAUGUGAUUUCACAAUUUUCUCAGGGUCUACAGUCAAUCCUCUCAAACCUCCUACAAAAGCUAAGAGGGCAAAGAAAGUUAAAAAGACUGAGAAUGCUACAGAUAAAUAGUGUUGGGAACUUAGUUUAAGGACUUUUUUGACCUUGUUUGGGUAAUAGGUCUGAUAAUGUUUGUGUUUUGAAUUGUAUUUGAGAUUGAUGUUUUGUAGUGUUAAUUAAUUACAUUACAUUUGUUAUAUAAAAAUAGUUAUUCCUAGAAAAUUAUAUCAGUUUGGCUUGGUGUGCAAUUGUGUUUAUGACCUACUAUGUAUGUUGUGUGUAUUAAUAUUGUUUGGUGUGCAUUUAAGUUUUGUUGAACUUUAAACAGGUUGGUGUUGAAG